GGCUUCAUGCCCCUGCCUCGGUGUCAGCCCCGACUUGGGAGGUGGCCAGGACCCCAGCCCGGUCUUGCCUCUUCUUCUCAGGGCCUUCCAAGGGAGGGUAGCCGGGCAGUGCCCUUCAACCAGCAGGACCCCAUCUGAUGCUGGUGGCUCCUGUGGUUAGUGAGGCGAUCCUGGGGUUGUGAGAGUCAGAGCCAGGAGCUUCGGCACACAGUAGGGUCUCAUAACAGACGGGAGGUAACUGCCAUGCACCUGCUUGUGCUCCCGCAAACCUAGUUCUGGGCUUCCCAGAAGGGAGGUUCAGUGCAGCAGCCACCCUGGGAGAUAAAGGCACUAAAACUUUUUGGCCGUGGUGGGGGGGGAAUAACAAGAUGCUGACCAUUGUGUUUGCAGAACACGUCGGUUGGAAGACAUUUUUUGAAAACCUGAGGAGGGUAGUGAGAGGACCUCCAAGAAGCCUGCUCGAGGAGUAGCCAGGGGUCUGGGCAUUAAACUUUCUUUCUUUUUUUUAGUAUCUAUCUAUCUAUCUAUCUAUCUAUCUAUCAUCUAUCUAUGUAUUUAUUUAGAGAGUGAGCAGGGGAGGAGCAGAGAGAGAGGGAGACAGAGGAUCUGAAGUGGCCUCUAUGCUGACAGCAGAGAUCCCAAUGCGGGGCUCAAACUCACGAACCGUGAGAUCGUGACCUAAGCCGAAGCUGGACGCCUAACUGACUGAGCCACCCAGGUGCCCCAUGGGCGUUCAACUUUCUUAAGGGAAUGAUGCUGUGUUGGUUUCCUAGGAUUGCUGUAUGUAUCACAUUACCGUCAACUUGGUGGCUCAGAGCAGUAGAGAUUUAUUCUCUCGUGGUUCUGGAGGCCAGAAGUCUACUAUCAAAGUGUCCACGGGGUUGGUUUCUUCUGGGGGUUCUGAAAGGGUAUCUUUCCACACCUCUCUCCUAGCUUCCGGUGGCUCGGGCAUUCCAUGACUCCAGUCUCUGCUUCUGUCUUCACAUGGCCUUCUUCCUUGUGUGUGUCUGUGUUUCUGUUUUCUCUUCGUAGAAAGACGGCAGUUGUUGGAUUAGGGCCCAGCCUAACUCAGUGUGACUUCACCUUAUUUUAAUGUAUUACAUCUGCAAAGACCCUACCUCCAACUAAGGUCACAUUCGGAGGUGUGGGUUGGCCAUGACUUUUGGGAGGACACUACUGGACUCAGGUUCCAUGCAUGGCUGCUGUCUCGCUUCGUGGGGCCAGCAAGUUUGGGGCCAGAGCAGAAUUGCUGGGGACAAAAAAGGGAGGGGCUGACCAUCCCAGCAGUGGUCUGCCUUUUUUGGUUCUUCUACCGACCAUGAGCAGCUGAACACAUCUCUAGACAGUGUGGCUUUGGUGGGAUGCGAAAUGAUUAGCUGCCCAGAGUGCCCACCUGUCGCAGUGGGACCCUGCUUCCCAGCUGGAGCAGAGAGGUCACGUGCAGCCUUGUCUCACCCGCAGGGGAAGGUGCCCACUGAAGGGAAUCCACUGGAGCCUUGGCUGGGGACAGAGAGGGCACCUCGGAGGCUUUGUUCUGCCUGGUCCCUAAGCUUGGGGGUUGGGGAGAAAACAGCUCUAGACUGAAAUCAAAUCACAUUUCAGAUGUCUUCCACUACACAUUAUUUACUUUUCCUUCGUGAGUUGGAUUUAUGUACGGUAAAGUACACAAAUCUUUUUUUUUUAAUUUUUUUUUAACAUUUAUUUAUUGUUGAGACAGAGAGAGACAGAGCAUGAACGGGGGAGGGUCAGAGAGAGAGGGAGACACAGAAUCCGAAGCAGCCUCCAGGCUCUGAGCUGUCAGCACAGAACCCGACGCGGGGCUCGAACUCACGGACCGUGAGAUCAUGACCUGAGCCAAAGUCGGACACUCAACCGACUGAGCCACCCAGAUGCCCCAGUACACAAAUCUUAAAUGGAUUUUUCAAUGGACUUUUAUAAAUGUGUACCCUCAGGCGAAUGCAUAGAACAUUUCGAUCGCCCCCAGGAAGUUCCCAUGUUCUCUCUUCCAGUGGUCCUUCCUCCCCACCUCCCCAAAGAGAGACGCUACUUAACUUGGAAAGGUAGAGGUUAGUUUUGUGUCCACAUCUGCAUACGAAUGGAUCCAGGUAGUAGGUGGUCUUUUGUAUCUGACUUCAUUCUUGACUAUGAGACUCGUCCAUGUACAGGCACGUAGCAGCAGAGUUCAUUCGUUUUCAUUGCUCUGGAAAGUUCUGUCGUUUAGCUAGGCUACGACGCACGUGUCCAUUCUCCUGCUGGUGGAGGAGCAGGUUGUUCCUGCUUUGGGUUGUUUCAAGUUUGGGGCUAUUUUGAAUAAAGCUGCUCAAAACAUUCUCAUCCAUGUCUUUUGGUGGGCAUCAGCACUAUUUUCUGUAGGCUCUAUACCCAGAAAUGCAGGAUGAGUCAUGGGGAGGCUACGUACGCAAGAUACCGCCAAGCACUUUGCCAGAGUGAUAAUACCCAUCUACUCUCCCAACAGUGCUCAAGAAACAUGAGAGCUUCUUGCCAAUCCUUGGUGUACUCAUUCCUUUCCAUCCGAGCCAUCCUGGUGGGGUUACUGUGGUAGCUCGCAUUUUAUUUAUUUUAUUUUAUUUUAUUUUAUUUUAUUUUAUUUUAUUUCAUUUCAUUUCAUUUCAUUUCAUUUCAUUUCAUUUCAUUUAUUUUAUUUCAUUUCAUUUUAUUUUAUUAUUUUCUAUUUUAGUUAUUUCAUUUCAUUUCAUUUUUAAAUGUUUAUUUUGAGAGAGAGAGAGAGAGAGAGAGAGACAGAGAGGGGGGGAGGGACAGAGGGAGACAGAGAGAGAAUCCCAAACAGUCUCCACUCUGUCAGUGCAGAGCCUGAUGUGGGGCUUGAAGUCACGAACCAGGGGAUCAUGACCUGGGCCGAAAUCAAGGGUUGGACGCUUGACCGACUGAGCCACCCAGGCGUCCCUUGCAUUUUAAAUUGGUAUUUGCCUGAUGGUGGUUGGUGGUGAACACAUUUUCAUGUGCUUAUUGGCCGUCUGGUUAUCUUUUUUUGUGCUUCGUCUGUUCUUCUGCCCCUUUUUGUUGGGCUGCUUAUCUUUUCCUUAUUGAUGGGUGGGAGAGAGACCGAGAUUCUUAAAUCCUCAUGGAAGCAGCUCCUCCUUCACACCUACUGUGUUUGUUCAGACCUCCCAGGCCAGGGACUCUGCCACAAGUGCUCAGUUGUCGUGGAGCCGUGUAAAUCAUUAGCCCUGCAGGGAAUUAGGGUGGGAGGGGGGUGGCCCGAGUCUGUUGAUAAUUUCUACGGCUUCCUCGUCAGACUGCAGUUUAUUUAGGGGUUUGUUGAAGGCAAAAGAAUGGGCCAUUUUGCCUCUGGGGCUGGGGUUUCAGGCCUGGGGAGAGAUGGCAGCUUGAAUUUUUGUAUUUGUUUUCUUUACUUCCAGAAUGGUCCUGGAAAGAGACCAUUCCGAAGAUGGCUGUCUUCCUGCCAGUUGCCCAGCCAUCCAGCGUCAAGGGCAGCUGUCAGGGUCCAGGGCCCCAGAUAUCAGUCCCAGCCCCCAGGGUAAACCAACGAGAUCGCAGGGCACAGCUACAAAGCCCACAGCUCCUUCCUUUUUCUUACCUCCCCCUUUCAAGGCUGUAGGUACUGACAGGGCUGCGAUGGUCUCUAAGACAGACAUUCUCCAAGUGUGGUCCCUGGACCAGCAGCAGCGGCAUCACCUGGGAACUUGUUGGAAAUACAGAUUCCCAGGGGCGCCUGGGUGGCUCAGUCAGUUAAGCAUCUGACUUCGGCUCAGGUCACCAUCUUGCAGUCUGUGAACUCGAGCCCCAUGUCGGGCUCUGUGCUGACAGCUCAGAGCCUGGAGCCUGCUUCACAUUCUGUGUCUCCCUCCCUCUCUGCACCUCCUCAGCUCGUGUUCUGUUUGUAUCUCUCUCAAAAAAUAAAUAAACAUUAAAAAAAAAUUUAGAAAUGCACAUUCUCUGGCCUCGCCCCAGAGGUACUGAAUCAUAAACACUGGGCUCUGGGUUUAACUAGCAAUCUGUGUUUUCACCAGGCCUCCAGGGGAUUCUGGGGCACACAAGAGUUUGAGGACCAUGCAUCUGGGGGGGAGUAUUUGCUCAGCUUGACCCGCAAGUCAGGUUUCUGCCAAGACUCUAUCCGGUUAACCCCCAGGGCUGGCUUUGGCACACGCUUUUGGCAGAGCUGAAUCCCUGGAAUUCAGGAGUGAUGGGACAAUCCCGUCUCUUAACCAGUAGUUCACAAACUUAACUGUAUGAGAAAAUCACCUGGGGCGGUGUUUUUGGGUUUGUUUUCAAAAAAUUCUGAUGUCUAGGUUGCUACCCAGACAAAUGAAAUCUGAAUCUUUGGGACUGGUGUCCAGGCAUUGUAUUGAUGUAUUUAAAAAUUUUUUUAAUGUUUAUUUAUUAUUGAGAGACCCAGAGAGGGACAGAGCAUGGGCAUGGGAGGGGCAGAGACAGGAGAAGACAGAAUCUGAAGCAGGCUCCAGGCUCUGAGCUGUCAGCACAGAACCCGACGUGGGGCUCGACCUCACAAACUGCGAGAUCCUGAACUGAGCUGAAGUCGGACGCUCAACUGACUGAGCCACCCAGGCGCCCCUGUACUGAUGUAUUUAAAAAGAAACUAAUAGACUUGAUUUUUUGGAGCAGUUGUAGUUUAUAGAAAACAUAUGUAGAAAGUACAUAAAGUUUCCACACACACCCCUCAUCAUGUCCCCCGAUAUCCACUGGUAUUAACAUCUUAUAUUAGUGUGGUAGGUACGUUAUCAUUGAUGAGCCAAUAUGGAUAUAUGAUGAUUAGCUGAAGUCUAUUGUUUAUGUUAGGGUUUACCCUGGAUGUUGUACAUUCUGUGGAUUUUGACAAAUGUGUAAUGUCACAUAUCCAUCGUCAAACUUUUAUACAGAAUACUUUCACUGCCCUAAAAAUCCCUGGUGUACCUGUUCAUCCCUCCCCAACCCCCUGGCGACCACUGAUCUUUUUACCAUCUCCGUGGUUUUGCCUUUUCCAGAAUGUCAUCAAGUUGGAAUCACACUAUGUAGCCUUUUCAGGUUGGCAUGGAUAUGUGUUUUUAACUCCCCAGGUGAUGCCAUUGUGCAUCCGGGUUUUAGAUCCCUGUACUCAAAGCGUCAGUCCGGAAUUUUCUUAGAAAAAUGCUGAAAUUCAAGUCCCAACCCGGAUCUGGUGACUCAGCAUGUGCAUUUUAACAAGAGCCCCAGGUGACUCAUAUGCACAUGAAGUUAGAGAAGCACUUAUUUAGACAAUGAAGAAUGGUCUUUUUCCAGGACCAUUCCGGAAGCAAAGAAAAUAGAUACAAAAAUUCAAGCUGCCAAAAAAAAAAAAAAAAAAAAAAAAUCGCCUCAAAUGUGGCUUCAAUCUGCCUGUGUAGCUCGGAAGGAGCCGUUAAAAACAAAAAGAAUAUACACACAUACAUGGAAGCUGACUAUAGAAAGGGCCCCUCCCCUUACCAUGAUUUAACCCAAUUGUAUAUUUCUUGGAGGUCUUUCCAAGAAAUGGAAAUUCUUGGAAUCACAAAUCAGCACAUGAAGAUUGCCUUCAUUCUUUUUAUCAGAUGCAGAACGUUCCAGCACAACUACUUGCCAUAAUUUCCCCACUGCCUAAUGGUGACUUCCAGGCUUUUCUCCCCUAAGGGAGCAUACAUCUGUGAAAUGAAGUCCUAGAAAUGAGCUUGCUGGUGUAGAGUAUGCAUUUUUCCUUAAAAACCAAUUUUUUUUGGUGGGGUGCAUGUGGGGGGGGGUGAUGUGAUAUUAUCCCCCAAAGAGGUGUGGUGGCAGAGUUUAUAUACCUGCCAGUUUUCCCACACUCUUGCCGACCCUGAGGCAUAACAGAGUUUUAAAAUAUUUGUUGGGGCGCCUGGGUGGCUCAGUCGGUUAAGCAUCCGACUUCAGCUCAGGUCACGAUCUCGCGGUCCGUGAGUUCGAGCCCCGCGUCGGGCUCUGGGCUGAUGGCUCCGAGCCUGGAGUCUGCUUCCGAUUCUGUGUCUCCCUCUCUCUCUGCCCCUCCCCCAUUCAUGCUCUGUCUCUCUCUGUCUCAAAAAUAAAUAAAUGUUAAAAAAAAAAUUAAAAAAAAAUAUUUGUUAAUGCGAUAGGUAAAAAUAUUCUGUUGCUUUUAUUUUUAUGUCAUUAGUUGUUAGUGAGACUGAAUAUUGUCUCCUGUGUUUAUGUGCUAUGAAUAUUAUUAUUAUUGUUGGGAGCUGCACAUUAGCGUCCUUUGUUGUUGUUUUUCUGUUGGGUAAUUGGCCUUAUAUAUAUAUAUUUUUCAAUUUUUAAAGUUUUUAAAAGUUUUUAUUUAUUUUGAGAGAGAGAUAGACAGCAAGUGGGGAGGGUCAUUGAGAGAGAGAGAGAGAGAGAGGGGGGCGCCUGGGUGGCUCAGUCGGUUAAGCGUCCGACUUCAGCUCAGGUCACGAUCUCGCGGUCCGUGAGUUCGAGCCCUACGUCGGGCUCUGGGCUGAUGGCUCAGAGCCUGGAGCCUGCUUCCGAUUCUGUGUCUCCCUCUCUCUCUGCCCCUCCCCCGUUCAUGCUCUGUCUCUCUGUCUCAAAAAUAAAUAAACAUUAAAAAAAAAAUUAAAAAAAAAAAAAA